rnacentral:RNase_P_RNA from 1 species
UUUCGGGUAAUUGGGCAUAAUUACUAUUAUGUCAGGAAAGUCCAUGCUCGCACAAGCUGCGAUGCUUGUAGUGUUCGUGCUCAGUGAAAAAAUAAGCUGAGGUACCCUUUGGGUAACGGCGAGAAAACAAGCUAAGGUUUUAGAACUAUGCUUAAGUAUCUCUGAAAAGUGCCACAGUGACGAAUUAAUUGGGAAACUAAUUAAAUGGAACGCGGUAAACCCCUCGAGCGGGAAACCCAAAUUUAUGGUAGGGGAGCUUCACAUAGGGAAUUGAACUGAUUGUGGGGGAGGAAUUUUAUCCUGAGAUAGAUGAUUACCACUUUAUAAUUGCACCUGAGAUUAUGAAGAACAAAACAUGGCUUAUAG